GACGAACGCUGGCGGCGUGCCUAACACAUGCAAGUCGAACGGAGAUUUCAGCAAUGAAAUCUUAGUGGCGAACGGGUGAGUAACGCGUAGACAACCUGCCUUCUAGAUGGGGACAACACUGGGAAACUAGUGCUAAUACCGAAUGUUGUAUUCUUGUUGCAUAACGAAGAUACUAAAGAUGGCCUCUAUUUAUAAGCUAUCGCUAGAAGAUGGGUCUGCGUCUGAUUAGCUAGUUGGUGAGGUAAUGGCUCACCAAGGCGACGAUCAGUAGCCGGUCUGAGAGGAUGAACGGCCACACUGGGACUGAGACACGGCCCAGACUCCUACGGGAGGCAGCAGUGGGGAAUCUUCCGCAAUGGACGAAAGUCUGACGGAGCAACGCCGCGUGAGUGAAGAAGGUUUUCGGAUCGUAAAACUCUGUUUUCAGGGACGAAUGUGCGCAAUGUGAAUAAUGUUGUGUAAUGACGGUACCUGAGUAGAAAGCCACGGCUAACUACGUGCCAGCCGCCGCCGUAACAC
rnacentral:rRNA from 1 species